rnacentral:rRNA from 1 species
AUGCAUGCCCUCCUACCCCAGCCUCAUGUGGAGCAUGCCCUCUACAACACCAUAAUUGGUUUCUACCAGCACCUUCCAACUCAAGAAUACAGGGUGCUCUGGGUCUCGGAACCAUGGCACCCGUAUAAAUCCAGCUUGCACGUUCUCACAGUGGGAUCCAAUGUGAUGAGGCAUAUCAGUGUCAGAAUGCAAACACUCUCACCACCAUCCAUGGAACAAGAACAUCAGUUACUGAAGGGAUUGCGCUCUAAGUCGUGUUGUCCACCAUCAGUGCUUCACCGUGGCAGCUUGCACUGGUGUCCUUAUGAUGCCAAUGAAAUUGGGGGACACAGCACAUAUAUUAUUGUGUUCGACACAGAAGCCGAGUCAUUCCGGUGGGUUAGCAGUCCCACCAAGCUGUGCCAUCAUAGAAAGUUGUUCGACAUGAACGGGACACUUGCUUUAUGGGGCAGCUUGACUCCCAGCUUGACCGCUAUGGAUGUCUGGGCGAUGCAGGAUUACGUCUGGAGUUUCAAGUACCGGAUCGACGUGUCAACGCUGGAGGUAUCACGACAACUUUAUUCAACCUCUUGUAAAAAGAAAAAGAGAACACCACUUGAUUCAACAGUGCAAUGGCUCAAUGAUAUGGUUGUGUUGAACGACCGUGAGUUGCUGAUCAUGUUUAACAGUAAACAUGUAAUGCGUUGUGACAUUGAUGGCAACUUCUUAGGAAUGGUGAACAUCGGAAAGCGUCAAUAUUGUAUGAUGCUUAAUCAUUGCUGCCUCAAAGAGAGCAUUAUUCCAAUUCCAUCCAACUAG